GGCAGCGGCGCUUCGCGUUCCGCGGGAGGGGCAGCACCGCCCCGCGGCGGCGCGGGCGGGACGAGGCGAAGGGCAGUUCAGCCACUGGAGGGCAACAUGAUCCUAGGCAGAGGAAGCACGACAGCCUGCAGAAUUAGGUAGCGUGCACCCCGCAAGCACCACCAAACUGCAGAGGAAUUUCUGCAUGCAGGAAUUCCUUGGAGAGAAGUGAGUCAUCAAGAUGACAACUGCUGGUUUCUGCAGGAUUUUUGUACUAGACAAGGAAAACAUUCUAUGGAAAUAAAUGGCAAAUUUAGCCAUCAAAAGAGACUUGAUUUUAGGGUGGAAGUAGAGCCUCAGAGCAAUCCUGCUGUAAUCGUGGGGCUGGCUGAAGUCACCACCACCACAUAAAACUUCUGCCUUACAGCCCAUUUCAAUAUUAGCAUUCAUUGCUUCAGUGGUGUGUAAUCGCACUGUAGAGGAGUCAGUAUUAUUUUCUGCUUUGAAGUCACUAAAGGUAGCUCUAUCAACACGUUUGGUGAGAACUGAGAUGUCAUUUACAAAUGACACUACAUGUGCCCUGGGAUGAUACUGUUUACUAUAUUCAAUAUUUGACCUUUUUUCUUUUACUAUGUGCAAAUACUAGGAAUCAUUUCUGCUCAUUUCUUAAGUCACAGGGGAGCUCAUUUGAAUAAAUUAAUGGAGGUUAAAAUUGCUUGUGUUUAUUAAUUCUGUGUGGAACUUUUACAUGGAUAAAUGUUAAGGAAAAUCCCCAUUAUGAUGGAAAGAUAUUCUAGUAAUUGCCUUUAAUUACAAGGGCAGCUUGCUACAAAUACAUUUAAAUGCAUCAUAGUGAAAGCAUUAGAAGCUGACACUUCCAUAGUUUAGGACAAGUAAUGUAAUUUAGAAAGACAGACUGAAUAAAAGGCAUGCUCUCCUUAGGCCAACUACCCUAGGAGCUGUUGGAUUCAUGCCCAGGACUGAUAUUGCAAAAGCCAUUCAGUGUACUUACAAUAUUUGGGGUUGUUAGGAUCACAAGUGCAGGCAAUUCAGAUAACCAGGCUAGAAUAAAUUAAGCUAUAUUUGUGUUAUAUCACAAUGAGCCAGUUGCUGUUAUUUUGUAGUAGAAAUAAUUUAUUCACUUACCUUAUCACUGUAGGAGCAGAAAGAAUUUGGCAUGCAUAUGAAAAUAGUCAAAGGCACCUUCAAAUAUAUUGGUCUUAAUAUACAUUACCGAUGUAUGAACUUGUAAUAAACCAAGCCCUGAGGGAAUAUGUUGCCUGGGAGGUGGGUUUUUAUCCUGUUUGCCAGGCAGAACAUACUAUGAAAUUCAGCAGUUAUCCUUUUUUAUCUUGUGAAGUUGAAUUUUCAGCUGAAAGAAAUGGUUGGGAAAAGGAGCCCUAAGACAGGGAGAUCACAUCUGGGCAGAAAUUUUGUAUCUUAGAGCAUUCCAGGUCAAAUUAAUCCAUGGCAUGCCUAAUUUCAACGGAUGCAAACCACAACAGAUUUUAGCUUCUCUGUUUUGCGGGGAAGAUUUAAUGUUUUAGCAUGCUAAAAGCAAGAGCAUUUUUUUAACACAGGGACAAAUACAUUGUUGGCCUGACUUAGGUGUUCUCUUUAUCUUAAUGCAUUCUGACAGACUUCAGCUACUGUCUAAUGACAAGAAAUCACGAAGACUGAAAGUUAAUGGAACUGGGGGGAAAUCCAUGAGAGCCCCUCAAGCCUCGUUUCUCUGGGCUGCUUGUUCACAUGCAGUCACACUUCACUUGUUUAUGUGAAAAGAUGCUUAGGGGGCUUUUUUAACCCCCCUGGCAAUUUAACCUGAUCCGACACACAACUACAAGCCUUCCUGCAUCAUUAAGUGGCUGCCUGUUUGAAGAGAAAUCAUGCUUUAGUAGGCAAGAAAGCAAACAUGAUAUCCCUUCUAAUUUGCCAAAUUAAUUAAAACGUUGCAUUUCCAACCAGAUUAGCCCCCUGCAUUUGCUUCAACCUCUUUUUGUGAGUUUCCAUUUCCAUACAGGGUAUAAACUUGGAUGGACUAAUCUACUCAGAAAUUAAUCCAUGUUAAACUAACUGCUUCCAUGUUGACAAGUCUUUGGAAAUAAGCAGGAAAGGCACUGGUCCCACAAAUAAUUCAUUGUCUGGGACAAAAAGGGCUUGCAUAAAUUUUGAGCAAAAUCGUGUCCAUCACAGCACAGGAAUGUGGGCUAUGCAUCCUUCUUUUCUCUCUUCAGUGCUAGUGUAAUUGCGUGCUUCAGUGUGCAAGAGCAGAUUGGAGUGGUUUUUCUUAACUAGCAGUUGCAGCUUUGAAAAGGUAUCCCUGGGGAUGGCCACACAGAUCCAUGGAGCAGCUGAUAGUUUCAGAGUGAGGAAUUGCAGGUUCCCAGCCCUGGGGUUCAAAGCAUGGGCCUGAUGGAUUAGAAGGGUAAAUUCAAGAGACUAGUUAUGGUUAAAAGCACAGUUUACACUGUGAUUGUUUCAGUUCUCAAAGAAACUGAAUGGGAUAGGUAAGUCAGCAGGCAGAAUUAGCACCUUCUCUCCCCCUGGUGAAAUACAUGGUGCAGUCAUACAGGUGUGUUUUGCCUGGUGCAAAGGUCAUCCAUAGGAGUCUCUCCCACUGCUAACCAUUAUCUUAUAAAAUUAUAAACCUUGUACCUCAAAGGUGAGAACUGCAAAGACUAAUGAGCUAAUUCUCUGGGCUCACUACCCUCCACCUCAUGCUGCCACACCAGGAAGCUGAGUGUCCUUCACCAGGUUCUUCAUUGGAGGUGGGAAGUCCCCAGCGUACACCCACCAUGCAGGGAAUCCUGUUCCCUUGACAAUGUUUGCAGCAGGCAUCACACUGAAAGCACCUUCCUGGUAUUUCCAGCUAUUGCAUUGGCCAUGGCACUGCCCGUUUGAGAAAAUCACCUGCAGGUAGCCUUUUGGCUGGAAGAGUUGUUACACUAAGCUGUGCUAGCUCUUGGCUAGGAAUUUCAUUUGGGCCUUCCAAAGAUUAAUGACUCUUUCUUAGAAGAAAGAAAAUGCCAAAUGUGUUUGCCCUGUGCUAGCAGGAGGGUAGGACUGUAGUAAGACAGUGUGGGAGAGCACCAAGGGUAUCAUUUAAUAUUUAGACACCUCAAAAGAACUGUUUUGGUGGAUUCUCCUUCGACUUAUCAGAGCCAUGGCUGGAGUACUUAGGGGUUGUAAGAAAUCUUCCCAGCACAGC